rnacentral:sRNA from 1 species
UAAUUAUUCUUUUAAUAAUAAUUGUGGUUAUUUUCGUUUUUUAAUCGGGUUAAAAUUCUUUAUUUUAUUAUUACGUAACCUCGUAUUUGUAUUUUUUAUUUUCUAUUUGUAAUUUUUGGUAAUUUUAUUUUAAAUUCCCGACAUUUCCUCCAUUUUUACCCAAUUAUAUCGGUACUAAUUUUGGUUUUAAUAUUAAAUCCCUUUUUCCAAAACCAAAUCCCGUGGCCGUAUAAAUAGGCCGCUCCCCUAAUAUCCUUUCCCAAAUUCUUUUUCGUUUUUCCUCCGUUAACCGCAAUAUUAUUUUAAAUUGGAAAACGGUCGCAAUUUGUCCGUUUUAUGUCCGCGUUUUUUACUAAUUGUAAACGUUUAAUUAAAAUUGUUAUUUUUGAAAAUUUCGAAAUUAUAUUAUAUUUUUUUUAUAAAAUCCACGAUUAUUUAUAUUAUAUAAUCUUAUUCAAAUUUUAAUAUAAUAAAUAUAUUUGUCGUGGUUGGAAAUGCGACGUUAUUUGCAUUUUUAUUAUUAAUUAUAAAUAGUUUUCCAUUUUUAUAUAAAAUUUUGUUUCCGACCUAAUUUGUUUUUCCAAUGGGUCGAUUAAAUUAAAAAAAGUUAAAAUUGCAGGAAUUUGAGAUUAAAAAUAAUAUUUUCUGUAUAUAAUAGGAAAUCGCGCGUUUGCAACGAAAAUCGUCCGAAAACUUUAUUUAAUUAUUGCGAUCGCGCAAAUAAAAAUACUUUUUUUUAAUUUCGCAACGAAGUUAAAAUUGUCCGUUUAAAUAUUAAAUUAUCGGUAAAAAGUGUUAUAAAAAAAAUCGUUUCGGGGUUAACAAACUGCUUUUUAACGGUUUUUUUAAAUUAAAUUUGGUUCCGGAAUUGCGUUUUCUAAAUUACGUCGACGUUAUUAACUGGUUUUCGGUAUUGGAUAUUAAUUUACAAAAUUGGGUUUUUGCAAAUUUAAUUCUUAAAAAUAAUAAAUGGUGUUUUUUUAAAUUAUGCUUUUUUUUAAUUAAUUUAUUCGCAAUUGCAAUUUUCGGUAAUAUUGGUAAAACGGUUCCUGGCAACUUUGGAAAUAAUUGAAAAAUUCCCAAAUAUUCUUUUCGUAUCCAUAAGUUUCCUAUUUAAUAAAAUACUUGAUUUUACCGUAAUUAUGUUUAUGGUUAAAUAUUUGUUUAAUAUUAUAAAUUUAUUUUAUAUUAAUUUCAACUGUUUUUUACCUAUCAAUACCGCAUAAUAUUAAUUUUAAUAAUAAUAUAUAAAAUAUAAAAUGGAUCUUUAUAAUAUUUGGUAAUAAUAAUUUGUAAUUAAUUUCGCUAAUCUUUUUAUGAAUUUUAAAAAAUCCAAAUUUUUUAAAAUUAAAUUGGCUAUUUAAUUAUUAUAUUUUAAUAUUGCGUCGAAUAAAAUAAAAUUAAUUUCCCUUUAUAAAAAAUAAUCCUUUUAUCCAAUA